GACGAACGCUGGCGGCGUGCCUAAUACAUGCAAGUCGAACGCAGUGGGGACGGGUUGGUAACACGUGGGUAACAUCACAUCAGAGGGGAUACCACUUGGAAACAGGUCCUAAACCGAUAAUGAUGGAUGGACGAUUGGUGCAUUGACCAGUUGGUGAGGUAACGGCACACCAAGGCAACGAUGCAUAGCCGACUGUAGAGGUGGAUAGGCCCCACGGGCACUGAGACAAGGCCCAGUCUCCUACGGGAGGCACAAGUCGGUAAUGUUCGGCAAUGGGCGAAAGUCUGACCGAGCAACGCCGCGUGAGUGAAGAAGGUUCUCGGAGCGUAAAACUCUGUUGUUAGGGAAGCGGUAUCUAACCAGAAAGCCACGGCUAACUACGUGCCAGCAGCCGCGGUAAUAC
rnacentral:rRNA from 1 species